rnacentral:rRNA from 1 species
GUACGCUAUUCAGAGUUUGAUCCUGGCUCAGGAUUAACGCUGGCGGCGUGCAUAACACAUUCAAGUCGAACGGUGACGAGGGCUUCGGCUCUCUGAUCAGUGGCGGACGGGUGAGUAACGCGUGAGCAAUCUACCUCUUGGUGAGGGAUAACAACCGGAAACAGUUGCUAAUACCUCAUGAAACGGCAGUCCCGCAUGGAACAACCGUCAAAGAUUUAUUGCCAAGAGAUGAGCUUGCGUCUGAUUAGCUAGUUGGUGAGGUAACGGCCCACCAAGGCGACGAUCGGUAGCCGGACUGAGAGGUUGAACGGCCACAUUGGAACUGAGAUACGGUCCAG